rnacentral:rRNA from 1 species
GAUGAACGCUGGCGGCGUGCCUAAUACAUGCAAGUCGAGCGAACGGACGAGAAGCUUGCUUCUCUGAUGUUAGCGGCGGACGGGUGAGUAACACGUGGAUAACCUACCUAUAAGACUGGGAUAACUUCGGGAAACCGGAGCUAAUACCGGAUAAUAUUUUGAACCGCAUGGUUCAAAAGUGAAAGACGGUCUUGCUGUCACUUAUAGAUGGAUCCGCGCUGCAUUAGCUAGUUGGUAAGGUAACGGCUUACCAAGGCAACGAUGCAUAGCCGACCUGAGAGGGUGAUCGGCCACACUGGAACUGAGACACGGUCCAGACUCCUACGGGAGGCAGCAGUAGGGAAUCUUCCGCAAUGGGCGAAAGCCUGACGGAGCAACGCCGCGUGAGUGAUGAAGGUCUUCGGAUCGUAAAACUCUGUUAUUAGGGAAGAACAUAUGUGUAAGUAACUGUGCACAUCUUGACGGUACCUAAUCAGAAAGCCACGGCUAACUACGUGCCAGCAGCCGCGGUAAUACGUAGGUGGCAAGCGUUAUCCGGAAUUAUUGGGCGUAAAGCGCGCGUAGGCGGUUUUUUAAGUCUGAUGUGAAAGCCCACGGCUCAACCGUGGAGGGUCAUUGGAAACUGGAAAACUUGAGUGCAGAAGAGGAAAGUGGAAUUCCAUGUGUAGCGGUGAAAUGCGCAGAGAUAUGGAGGAACACCAGUGGCGAAGGCGACUUUCUGGUCUGUAACUGACGCUGAUGUGCAGAAGCGUGGGGAUCAAACAGGAUUAGAUACCCUGGUAGUCCACGCCGUAAACGAUGAGUGCUAAGUGUUAGGGGGUUUCCGCCCCUUAGUGCUGCAGCUAACGCAUUAAGCACUCCGCCUGGGGAGUACGACCGCAAGGUUGAAACUCAAAGGAAUUGACGGGGACCCGCACAAGCGGUGGAGCAUGUGGUUUAAUUCGAAGCAACGCGAAGAACCUUACCAAAUCUUGACAUCCUUUGACAACUCUAGAGAUAGAGCCUUCCCCUUCGGGGGACAAAGUGACAGGUGGUGCAUGGUUGUCGUCAGCUCGUGUCGUGAGAUGUUGGGUUAAGUCCCGCAACGAGCGCAACCCUUAAGCUUAGUUGCCAUCAUUAAGUUGGGCACUCUAAGUUGACUGCCGGUGACAAACCGGAGGAAGGUGGGGAUGACGUCAAAUCAUCAUGCCCCUUAUGAUUUGGGCUACACACGUGCUACAAUGGACAAUACAAAGGGCAGCGAAACCGCGAGGUCAAGCAAAUCCCAUAAAGUUGUUCUCAGUUCGGAUUGUAGUCUGCAACUCGACUACAUGAAGCUGGAAUCGCUAGUAAUCGUAGAUCAGCAUGCUACGGUGAAUACGUUCCCGGGUCU